rnacentral:rRNA from 1 species
UACGUAGGGUGCAAGCGUUAAUCGGAAUUACUGGGCGUAAAGCGUGCGCAGGCGGUUUUAUAAGACAGAUGUGAAAUCCCCGGGCUCAACCUGGGAACUGCAUUUGUGACUGUAGAGCUGGAGUGCGGCAGAGGGGGAUGGAAUUCCGCGUGUAGCAGUGAAAUGCGUAGAUAUGCGGAGGAACACCGAUGGCGAAGGCAGCCCCCUGGGUCAAGACUGACGCUCAUGCACGAAAGCGUGGGGAGCAAACAGG